GCCUGCUUGGCUAAGUGGUAAAGCGUCGCACUUGUAAAAUAGGGAGAUGCGAAGACCCUCGGUUCGAUUCCGAGAGUAGGCA